rnacentral:rRNA from 1 species
GGGCACCACAAGAACGCGUGGAGCAUGUGGCUUAAUUUGACUCAACGCGGGGAAUCUUACUAGGUCCGGACCGAGUCUAUGAACGUCGUACCGUUGGGUGCUACGUGAUUACUGGAUGAGUGGUGCAUGGCCGUUCUUAGUUCGUGGUGUUAAUUGUCUACUUAAUUGUUUCGAUUUUUAGUCUCGCGGCUAAGAUCUAUGCAACGAACGAGAUCGAGACCCGUGGUUUGAAUUCGGUAUUACUACGGGGAUCGCGUAACACUCAACGGUACGAUCGAAAGACUCGGCAAUAACAGGUCUGUGAUGCCCUCAGAUGUUCUAGGCUGCACACGUGCUACAUUGUGAGUUGUAGUAUAUUGUGUAUGCGUAGAUAUGUCUAAGAUCCCCCGCACCGAGUCUCAAUUACUCACGUGGUUGGACUCACCGAUUGAAUGUAAUUAUUCGGUAUACUAACUAGGAAUGCCUCGUACGGGA